rnacentral:rRNA from 1 species
ACUCCUGCGGGAGGCAGCAGUGGGGAAUUUUGGACAAUGGGCGAAAGCCUGAUCCAGCAAUGCCGCGUGUGUGAAGAAGGCCUUCGGGUUGUAAAGCACUUUUGUCCGGAAAGAAAUCCUUGGCUCUAAUACAGUCGGGGGAUGACGGUACCGGAAGAAUAAGCACCGGCUAACUACGUGCCAGCAGCCGCGGUAAUACGUAGGGUGCGAGCAUUAAUCGGAAUUACUGGGCGUAAAGCGUGCGCAGGCGGUUUGCUAAGACCGAUGUGAAAUCCCCGGGCUCAACCUGGGAACUGCAUUGGUGACUGGCAGGCUAGAGUAUGGCAGAGGGGGGUAGAAUUCCACGUGUAGCAGUGAAAUGCGUAGAGAUGUGGAGGAAUACCGAUGGCGAAGGCAGCCCCCUGGGCCAAUACUGACGCUCAUGCACGAAAGCGUGGGGAGCAAACAGGAUUAGAAACCCUGGUAGUCCCAUG